AGCCUGAACGCUGGCGGCGUGGCUAAGACAUGCAAGUCGCACGGGGUAGCAAUACCCAGUGGCGAACGGGAGAGUAAUGAAUCGCUAAUGUACCCCGGACUCUGGGAUAGCUACCCGAAAGGGUAGGUAAUACCAGAUGACAUAACCGCACGGCAUCGUGUGGUUCUCAAAGGUCCGCCGGUCUGGGAGCAGGCGAUUUCGUAUCAGCUAGUUGGUGGGUAACGGCUCACCAAGGCGACGACGCGUAGCCGGACUGAGAGGUUGGCCGGCCUCGAUUGGGACUGAGACACUGCCCAGACUCCUACGGGGGGCUGCAGUAACGAAUCUUCCGCAAUGCACGAAAGUGUGACGGAGCGACGCCGCGUGUGGGACGAAGCCCUUCGGGGUGUAAACCACUGUCAGGGUUACCAAGUUCUGAGGAGCCCCAGAGGAAGGCACGGCUAACUCUGUGCCAGCAACGC
rnacentral:rRNA from 1 species